AUUGAACGCUGGCGGCAGGCCUAACACAUGCAAGUCGAGCGGAUGAAGGGAGCUUGCUCCUGGAUUCAGCGGCGGACGGGUGAGUAAUGCCUAGGAAUCUGCCUGGUAGUGGGGCUAACGUCCGGAAACGGGCGCUAAUACCGCAUACGUCCUGAGGGAGAAAGUGGGGGGUCUUCGGACCUCACGCUAUCAGAUGAGCCUAGGUCGGAUUAGCUAGUUGGUGGGGUAAAGGCCUACCAAGGCGACGAUCCGUACCUGGUCUGAGAGGAUGAUCAGUCACACUGGAACUGAGACACGGUCCGGACUCCUACGGGAGGCAGCAGUGGGGAAUAUUGGACAAUGGGCGAAAGCCUGAUCCAGCCAUGCCGCGUGUGUGAAGAAGGUCUUCGGAUUGUAAAGCACUUUAAGGUGGGAGGAAGGGCAGUAAGUUAAUACCUUGCUGUUUUGACGUUACCAACAGAAUAAGCACCGGCUAACUUCGUG
rnacentral:rRNA from 1 species